rnacentral:lncRNA from 1 species
ACAAAUCUUGCUCUCUGCUUGUUUAUUUUAAUAAAAGGACGUCUGCUCUUUUUAAUGAAAUCAAGGAAGCUUUAGAAGGGCAUGAUGUGGAAGCAAAAGUUGACGCGAUGAAGAAAGCUAUUAUGCUUUUGCUCAACGGUGAAACGCUGCCACAGCUUUUUAUAACAAUUGUUAGAUAUGUUUUACCUUCUGAGGACCACACAGUUCAGAAACUACUGCUUCUUUAUCUUGAAAUCAUUGACAAGACUGAUGCCAAAGGCCGUGUCUUGCCUGAAAUGAUUUUGAUUUGCCAAAAGUUGAGGAAUAAUUUGCAGCAUCCAAAUGAUUACAUACGGGGUGUCACUUUGAGGUUUCUUUGUCGCUUGAAUGAGGCUGAGAUUAUUGAGCCAUUGAUUCAUUCUGUUUUAGUUAAUCUGGAGCAUCGACACCAGUUUAUUCGAAGGAAUGCAAUUCUUGCAGUAAUGGCCAUUUACAAACUUCCACAGGGUGAACAGCUCCUGGUUGAUGCUCCAGAAAUGAUUGAGAAGGUUUUGUCAACCGAGCAGGACCUAUCAGCCAAGAGGAAUGCAUUUCUUAUGCUUUUUAAUUGUGCACAGGAUCGUGCCAUUAAUUAUCUUCUGACCCAUGUCGAUAAAGUAUCUGACUGGGGGGAGCUGCUACAGAUGGUUGUGUUGGAACUGAUUCGGGAAGUAUGCAGAAAAAAUAAGGGAGAGAAAGGAAGGUAUAUAAAGAUCAUUAUAUCUCUACUUAAUGUUCCUUCUGCUGCUGUUAAAUAUGAAUGCGCUGGAACACUUGUGUCUUUGUCAUCUGCACCUACAGCAAUCAGGGCUGCCGCCACUACCUAUUGCCAACUUCUUUUGUCUCAGAGUGAGAACAAUGUCAAACUUAUAGUGCUUGAUCGCCUUAAUGAACUUAAAUCUUCUCCCAGGGAGAGUAUGGUUGAAUUGGUUAUGGAUGUGCUUAGAGCACUCUCUAUCCCAAACCCGGACAUUCGAAGAAAAACACUUGAUAUUGUUCUUGAAUUAAUUACUCCUAGAAAUAUCAAUGAGGUUGUUCUCACUUUGAANUAAUGAAAUCAAGGAAGCUUUAGAAGGGCAUGAUGUGGAAGCAAAAGUUGACGCGAUGAAGAAAGCUAUUAUGCUUUUGCUCAACGGUGAAACGCUGCCACAGCUUUUUAUAACAAUUGUUAGAUAUGUUUUACCUUCUGAGGACCACACAGUUCAGAAACUACUGCUUCUUUAUCUUGAAAUCAUUGACAAGACUGAUGCCAAAGGCCGUGUCUUGCCUGAAAUGAUUUUGAUUUGCCAAAAGUUGAGGAAUAAUUUGCAGCAUCCAAAUGAUUACAUACGGGGUGUCACUUUGAGGUUUCUUUGUCGCUUGAAUGAGGCUGAGAUUAUUGAGCCAUUGAUUCAUUCUGUUUUAGUUAAUCUGGAGCAUCGACACCAGUUUAUUCGAAGGAAUGCAAUUCUUGCAGUAAUGGCCAUUUACAAACUUCCACAGGGUGAACAGCUCCUGGUUGAUGCUCCAGAAAUGAUUGAGAAGGUUUUGUCAACCGAGCAGGACCUAUCAGCCAAGAGGAAUGCAUUUCUUAUGCUUUUUAAUUGUGCACAGGAUCGUGCCAUUAAUUAUCUUCUGACCCAUGUCGAUAAAGUAUCUGACUGGGGGGAGCUGCUACAGAUGGUUGUGUUGGAACUGAUUCGGGAAGUAUGCAGAAAAAAUAAGGGAGAGAAAGGAAGGUAUAUAAAGAUCAUUAUAUCUCUACUUAAUGUUCCUUCUGCUGCUGUUAAAUAUGAAUGCGCUGGAACACUUGUGUCUUUGUCAUCUGCACCUACAGCAAUCAGGGCUGCCGCCACUACCUAUUGCCAACUUCUUUUGUCUCAGAGUGAGAACAAUGUCAAACUUAUAGUGCUUGAUCGCCUUAAUGAACUUAAAUCUUCUCCCAGGGAGAGUAUGGUUGAAUUGGUUAUGGAUGUGCUUAGAGCACUCUCUAUCCCAAACCCGGACAUUCGAAGAAAAACACUUGAUAUUGUUCUUGAAUUAAUUACUCCUAGAAAUAUCAAUGAGGUUGUUCUCACUUUGAAGAAGGAAGUCGUGAAAACUCAAGGUGGGGAUCUUGAGAAGAAUGGAGAGUCACGCCAAAUGUUUAUUCAAGCCAUUCAUUAUUGUGCAAUAAAGAUUCCAGAAGUGGCAAGCACUGUUGUUCAUCUAUUGAUGGACUUCUUGGGAGACAAUGUUGUUUCUGCUAUGGAUGUUGCUGUUUGUCUGCGGGAAAUAAUCGAAACCAACCCAAAAUUGAGGUCUCCUAUCGUAAAAAGGUUGUUUAAAUUAUCAAAACCAACCCAAAAUUGCUUCUGCUAGGUGUUUGUGUGCGAGAAAUAAUCAAAAUGAUGAAGAUCAAUGGUUUUUAAGGAUAUCUGCUUUUAAAAAAUAAGGGUUAGUGUUAAACAGAUAUUUUAUAUUUGUUAUUUAACAAAAAAAUAAGAGUUUAUUUCCGUAAAGAAAUUGAAUUUUAUAUAUUUUUUCAGAAUUAAGCUCUUUUUUCUCAAAAAUAAAUUUUGAGCACUUUUGACCGAUAAGGAAUGGAAGUGCAAAGAUGUGUCAUACACGUAUACAAUUAAGAGUUAAGACCACUAGCCGCGCAUAUCAUAGGCUGCGUAUGGAUGAUAUGUUGUUUCACGGCAGAGCAAUUGGAUGCUCGUAAUCUAAACAUCCAUCUUAACUUCCUUUUGUGGUGCAGUUUGGAAUCGGAAUCACAAAAGAGCGAUUUUUCUAAAACUGAAAAUCGAAACCAACCCAAAUGAAAAUCGAAACCAACCCAAACAUCAUUGGUGCGAUUCGGUUUAUAAUGAACGGUUCCAAUAUCAAAUGAUGCGUUUCGAUUUUCAAACCGUGAAAAAUCCGAGAUAUUAAAAUUCAUAGAUGAACACUUUGGGGCGGAAAACAAAACAAAUUUUACAACCAUCCAUAAAAAGAAACCUUACAUAAAAAAAAUUCUUAGUGUUCGAAUUUUCUCAGCAGAUUCAAUCAACUCCAAGUAAAACACUGCUCCACACUGAUUGUCUUUGCUUAAUCUCAUUUUUGAGCGUCUGUUCCCAAAUAUUAUACAAAUACAUGAAUAAAGCAUUGCAGGGAGUAGGAAUCGUUUCAGCUAUUAUAGAAUUAGAAAGACUGAGGAAUGACCGGCACUAACUGUGUUUACUUGGAUAUAAACAUAAUUAUAUAUUUUAUAAUAGAUAUAAUUUAUAUAUUAUUCUAUAUGUAAAUAUAUAACAUAAAUAAAUAAAUAUAAAAAUUAUUGCAGUUCGAUUUGAUUUGUAUUCGGUUUUAAAAUUUUUAAAAUCAAAAUCAAAUUCAAAAUAUCGGAGCGAUUUUUAUUCAGUUCAAUUUUUAUUUGGUGUGAUUUCAUGUAAUUUUUGGUUCGGUUUCCACUUAUCUGUGACCUUAACAUGUUAUCGUCCGCUUACAUAAAUAAAAAUUAAAUAGAAGCUACAGUUUAGGCUCUAUGGUGAAUUAGUGAGAUAUAGAGCUAAAUAGAAGCUACAAAUGACUUUCACCAUGUCAUGUUCACAGACUGAGAUAUAGAGCUUGAUUGCCGGCUUAUCAUUUACUCCUUCCGUCCCUCUCAUUUUUUUAUACUUUUUUAUUGCUCAACUUGUCUUUUAAAACGCGCCUUGCAGAGACUACAAAUGACUUUCACCGUGUCAUGUUCACGGACUGAGAUAUAGAGCUUAUUGCCAAAUGCUCUUUUGCCGGCUUAUCAUUUACUCCUUCCGUCCCUCUCAUUUCUUUAUACUUUUUUUAUUGCUCAACUUAUCUUUUAAGACGCAUAUAAAAUAUUAUUAUAUUUUAUUAGAGUAUCAGAAUGAGUGUCGAGCCCCGUUCCUAAGAUAAAUAAUUGAGAGGGACGGAGGAGUAUAAAUUAAAAUUCAUAUGUCAAUAAGUUAUGAGUUAAAUUCUGAUUUAUAAGUCAGAAGAUCUUAUUAAUCAGAACUGAUUAUUUGAAAAUUUAAAAUCUCGACCUUUUAGUGAAUUUUUAAAAUUUGAUAUUAAAGAAGUAUAUAGGUUAGUCCGUAUUUUGAUCAUAAAUUAGAAGUGACUUGGCUCAACGAAUAUGUCCUUGCGGCGGCAAAAGGAUUAGAAGUUACCCCACUCGGACGAGGUUUUUGAACAGAACUUCGAUAGGCGCGAGGUGUAAGCACCGCGAGGUGUGAAGCGAUGCAAGUAUAAAUUAUUUUUUUGUCAGUUAUAUAUUGAUCUGUCCUGUAAUGACUUAAAACAUUCACCAUCCGCUUGAAGGUGUGCAAUACGACAUCCAUUUGUGGAAAUACAAAGACAGUGUCUAUCGGUCAUAUCGUGGUAAUUAAGCUAAUCUGUGAAUGAAACAGAUAAUUAUUUGGAAAAUAGGAAAAAACAAUUUACAAUACAAUAUGCCUCAUGUUCCGUAGACAAUAGCACGAAACACGACAAAGUGAGGAGUGAGCUAGAGAAAAGAAACUAAAACACUUGUAUCAUAUUUGAAAAGAGAAGUGUUUUUGCGAUAAAUCUAAAACAUGAAAAAAAACAAUACAAGAUUGAGAGAGAUUGUAAACGACAACUGCCGGACUAGGCAGAAUAUUACCUAAAGGAUAUUAUGUGACAUAAAUUAGUGUAUAUAAGAAGAUGAGCCGUAAUGUCGAUUAAUCGCGGACUUUUAGAAAGUAAGAAAAUGAAGUGGUGGGAGAGUUGCAGUGUAGUGUUGUUGGUGAUGAGCUUUUUGGGUGCAGCUGCUGCACAAAAGGCGACUGUGAGAACGACAUACCAUAUAUAUGAGCCACAGAAGAUUGGAUGGGAUUAUAUGAAGGCAGGUGUGUAUUGUGCAACAUGGGAUGCUGACAAGCCUCUUUCCUGGAGAAAAAAGUUUGGUUGGACUUCUUUUUGCGGCCCUGCUGGUCCUCAUGGUCGCUCUUCUUGUGGAAGGUGUUUGAAAGUAAGUCUCUUUUUUUUGUUCAAUAAUUAAUUUACGAUCUGUUUAGGUGGAGUCAUGAACACAUGCUAAGCAUUAAUUUUUAUUAUGUAUUUAGCUCAUUUUGAUUGGUGUGUUUCUGUAUAUAAGGGUCCAAGUGGGAGUUAACUAAAAUAAGCUGAACUUAUAAAAUUUAGUGAUUAGCUUGUCUCAGUGACAUGUCAUAGAAAAAUAGAAUUAUUUAUUUAAGAACAGGUAGGUUUGUUAAUAGAUUGGAUAUUUGCGAAUUAAUUUAGAUGAAUAUGGAUUGUGUGAAAGAUAUUUGAUCCGAUAAUAGUAUUCCACAUAGAAUUGAAUAUGAAUAUAGGUCGCUACGAUUUGUUUAUUCACGACUUAAUGCGUUUACGGUUUUUCUAGUUGUGCCCAUGCAAAUGCUAGGCACUAAAUUUUAUAAAUUUGACUCUUUUUGAUUGGUUUUUGUUUUUUAAUAAUAGUGGACCCAUGCAUACAACAACUACACCAAUCAAAAUGACCCAAACCCAGGGGCGGACCCAGACAUCAAAUCACACCCGGGCUGGCUGUUCAGUGAUCAUCAUCCAUUGGCCGGUGCUAAUUUAAAAAACUGUAAAAAAAAAACUUCCAUAUUUCAUUUGUAGUUAUAAUAUAUUCUGAUUAUCUGUUUUUACAAAAAUAUUUUUAUUUAUUCAAUUUCAAAUUUAUUUAUUAAUUAUUUUUUUUAUUUGGUAAUUGAUUUUUGACACACAAUUUUAGAUAUUUUGUCUAAAUAGUAAAAUUAAUUAUUUGGGACGAAUUUAUUUAACCUGGAUAAUUUAAGAUGACGUAAUUUUAUGAUUAAUUCUAAAUACUUUUUACAAAGGAAUUAGUAAAUCUUAUAAUUGCAAAAUUUGGAGAUAAUUAUAAUUACAUGAUAUCAUAAAAAAAUUCAAGUUUUCGAGAAUCAUUAUUAAAAUUAGAAAAAACCUAAUAAGUAGUAAAUAUAAAUAAAACACAAAUUAGAAUCUUUAUUUAGAAAUAGAAAUUUCAUAACUAAUAACAAAUGUGUAUAUUAAUAUAUGUAAAAUGAAUUAUAUAAUAAUCUAAUUAAAAAUUAGAGAACAAAUACGUCCUAAAUCAAAAGGGAAAAAGUUCAAAGUGAUUUAUGUUGUGUUUGGUUGGGGUGAAUGAUUCCGGAAGGAAUGGAAUGAAAAAUGAACUAUUUUAUGGAUGAUUUUUAAGAACUUUCAUUCCUUCCUUCAUUCCAUUCCCUACAUCAUAUGUUAGAUGUCACCCCUUCCAUUUGAGAUGGAAUGCUCCAUUCUCUCUCAUUCUCAUUUUCUUCUCAAAUCUCAUCAUAGCAAUUUUGCACUCCUUCAAAAUCCUACAUCAUAUGUUAGAUGUCACCCCUUCCAUUUGAGAUGGAAUGCUCCAUUCUCUCUCAUUCUCAUUUUCUUCUCAAAUCUCAUCAUAGCAAUUUUGCACUCCUUCAAAAUUUUUCAAAACUUUCUUCACAUCUCUAUUAGUUUCAAGUAUUUUUUACUCAUUUCAUUUCAUUCCAUUCCAUUCUCCCCAACCAAACACAACAUUAUAGUUACAGACUUACAGUCUUUUGACACCAACAAUAAUAGAAUAUGUGUUCAACUACAGCUAAUUCUUGUUUCUUUGUGAAUCAAAAUUCAAAAUUGUGAAUCAAAAUUCAAAAAAGUUUACUGGGCUAGCAUGAAGGAACUGCCCGGGCUGAAGUCUCCAAAUCAAAGAAGUUAGUAAUAAAUCUGCUAGAAAGUGAGAAUGUUACCAGGGCUGGCACCAACCCUAGCCCCUUCUAUGGUCCGCCCAUGCCCAAACCUAUAGUGCUCAGUGCCCAUGAACACACAUUAGACAAACUCAUGUGUUUAACAAGAUUUUGUGCCAUGCUUUGAUCAGUUUGUACUUGUGAUUUGAUAUGUUGUUGUAUGCAGCUUACUAACACGGCGACAAAUGCAAAAGUAAAAGUGAGAAUAGUCGACCAAUGCAGCAACGAUGGUCUGGAUUUGGAUGUUGGCAUGUUUCAGAAGCUAGACACUGAUGGACAAGGCUAUGCUCAGGGCCAUCUCAGUGUCAAAUACCAGUUUGUUAAGUGCUGACUUUGUUUCUCUACAUUUAUGCUGUCCUUUCUGUAAUACAAAGAAAUCACCUCAAUGCCAGUUUUUUUCAAGUUUAAUUCACAAGUAUACUCGUGUCUUGUACUAUUCUUGGACUCUUGUGUUUUCUUCAGUCCCCUAUGUUGUUGAUGGCCCAAGUAAUUUUUUUUAAACCAAUUACGAUAUUUUAAUUUAAGAAAUUAAAAUUUGAGGCUAAAUUUUGAUUUUAUGAAUUAAUUAUUUGUCUCUUGAUUAUAUAUUCAAACGCUCGGCUUUUAUCAAAGAGGACUGUUGUUAACUUGUUAUAUAUGCAACAUAAUAACUACAUUUUUUUUAAAAAUUCAAUGACUUAAUUUUUUUGAUAAAAAUUACACGUAAGUUAUAAGUUACUCAUAAAACAAUUUUAUUUUUAUCAUUAGAUUUUUAAUAAUCCACAAGCAGUUAAUAAGUCAAAAUUAUCCAAAUAGACAUUUUAAAUUUCCAAAUAAGUCAUGUUAAGUCCUAAGUCACGUUAAAUCCUAAGACAUAAGCUCAGCCAAACAAUCUCUAGGGUCUGUUUGAGAGUGCUGUUAAAAAUUGUUGUGCUGUCGGAAAAAGUGCUGGUAAAAUAAGUGCUGUUGUAGAAAUCAAAUAACUGUUUGGUAAUUUUUUUAUAUUUACUUAUUUUGAGUUAUAAUAUAAAAAAAUAAUGAUUUUGGUGAUGUUUUAUAAUGAAAUCUAUAACAGCAUUCUGCAAAAGCUGAAAAGCAACCUUUUGUAAAAACAUGGGAGGACCUGCUUUUUCUAACAGCAGCUUUUCAGCUAAAAACUGUUGUUCGGAAAAGCUGCUUUUAGAUUUACCAAACAGUUUUUCACCUGAUUUUCAGCAAAAAACUGUUGUUGUUGUCUGCAAGAGCAACCCCAAACAGUACCUAAAUCAACUUUAUCAUUGAAAAUGUAGCCAAACGACUUCUAAAUCAACUUUCUCGUUGAAAAUCUACUCCUUCCUUCUCGGGAUAUAAUAAUUUAUUGAUUUUUUCCCCACGUAUUGUCUAAAAAUUUUAAUCGCAUAUUUAUAAAUAUUAUUUUUGAUAUUUUAUUUUUGUGAACAAAAGUAUGAUAUUAAUUACUUCAAAAAAAAAGGGUAUGCUGCUAUUAUUUUUAUUUAUAAUUUUUUUUAAAAAGAUAAUUUUAAAUAUUUAGUCAAUUUUUUUUUUUUUUUUAGAGCAAUUUAGUCAAAAUUUUUAAAAAAUCUUAAGAAAAGUAUAAGAGCUAUUCCAUACUAACAUAACAUAGAGAGAGUAAAGAUUACAAACCGGCGAAUCCCUUGUAAAUUAGUUGAAGGCGUGGUAUAAGAAAGAAAACCAGAUCUAUAAUUCCAUAGUUGAAUUCCGUGUGUACACUUCUCCGGCCACCGACAAUCAAUCGUUUGCUUCUCGGUAAUCAUCAACACACUCUUGUAGUAGUUAAUUAUAUACACUGAUGUACGUUUUGACCUAAUUACAGAUCUCGCAUUUUCAUUUGCCAUUUUUUUAAUUACGCUUUGGUUGUGAUUCCUUUCAUCUAUUUUCGCUAUUUGAUUCAUACAUUAUUCCUGCUCUUGUCUUUGUUGUGAGUGUGCGUAUGUAUGUUCAAAUCUCGCUGUAAAUCCUUAUACCUAGAUAUCAAUUUUAAUCUAUUUACACCUAGAUAUCAAUUUUAAUCUGAUUGUAAACAACCAAUGCAAUGUGAUUGGAUAUUACUCAGUUUUAUAUCAAUCUCAAUCGCGGUGAUGUUAGUACCAGUGCUUUUCGAUUUACUUUCUGUGUCGGUAACUUUUAUAUGUAUGUUCGUAUAUGUGGAAUUUUGCGGUUAUCUAUUUGCAUUUCAAUGUACUAAUAAUGUUAAUUUCUGUAUUGUGUGUAUGACGAUAUAGUUGUUUGUUUCUGUUAGUAAUACUGAGGUGUUUUAUGUUGUUCGAUCAGAUAAUUGGUGAGAUAUGGACAAAUCUUGCUCUCUGCUUGUUUAUUUUGAUAAAGGGACGCCUGCUCUUGCUAAUGAAAUCAAGGAAGCUCUAGAAGGGCAUGAUGUGGAAGCAAAAGUUGACGCGAUGAAGAAAGCUAUUAUGCUUUUGCUCAACGGAGAAACGCUGCCACAGCUUUUUAUAACAAUUGUUAGAUAUGUUUUACCUUCUGAGGAUCACACAGUUCAGAAACUACUGCUUCUUUAUCUUGAAAUCAUUGACAAGACUGAUGCCAAAGGCCGUGUCCUGCCUGAAAUGAUUUUGAUUUGCCAAAAUCUGAGGAAUAAUUUGCAGCAUCCAAAUGAGUACAUACGGGGUGUCACUUUGAGGUUUCUUUGUCGCUUGAAUGAGGCCGAGAUUAUUGAGCCUUUGAUUCCGUCUGUUUUAGCUAAUCUGGAGCAUCGACACCAGUUUAUUCGGAGGAAUGCAAUUCUUGCAGUAAUGGCCAUUUACAAACUUCCACAGGGUGAACAGCUCCUAGUUGAUGCUCCAGAAAUGAUUGAGAAGGUUUUGUCAACCGAGCAGGACCAAUCAGCCAAGAGGAAUGCAUUUCUUAUGCUUUUUAAUUGUGCACAGGAUCGUGCCAUUAAUUAUCUUCUGACCCAUGUCGAUAAAGUAUCUGACUGGGGGGAGCUGCUACAGAUGGUUGUGUUGGAACUUAUUCGGAAAGUAUGCAG